rnacentral:pre_miRNA from 1 species
CAAGUACUCCCUCCGUUCAAAAAUACUUGUCAUUGAGAUGGAUGUAUCUAGAUGUAUAUUAGUUCUAGAUAUAUCUUUAUCCAUUUUAAUGACAAGUAUUUCCGGACGGAGCGAGUACAUG